rnacentral:rRNA from 1 species
UUUAACGGCCGCGGUACUCUAACCGUSCAAAGGUAGCGUAAUCACUUGUCCUUUAAAUAAGGACCGGUAUGAACGGCUAAAUGAAGGUAAAUCUGUCUCCUUUAAUUGAUCAGUGAAACUGAUCAACCAGUACAAAAGCUGGUAUAAAUCCAUAAGACGAGAAGACCCUGUGGAGCUUUAAAUUUCAAACCAAAUACAACACAAAACAUCUAUGAUGGUUGAAAAUCUUAAGUUGGGGCGACUUCGGAAACAAACAAAACUUCCGAGCAUAAGAAUAUUAAUCUUCCCAAGACCAACAAGUCAAAGCAAAACUUGACCCAGUAAGACUGAUCAUCGAACCAAGUUACCCCAGGGAUAACAGCGCAAUCUUCUUCAAGAGUCCCUAUCGACAAGAAGGUUUACGACCUCGAUGUUGGAUCAGGACACCCAAAUGGUGCAGCCGCURUUUACGGUUC